GACGAACGCUGGCGGCGUGCUUAACACAUGCAAGUCGAACGGAAAGGCCCUGCUUUUGUGGGGUGCUCGAGUGGCGAACGGGUGAGUAACACGUGAGUAACCUGCCCUUGACUUUGGGAUAACUUCAGGAAACUGGGGCUAAUACCGGAUAGGAGCUCCUGCUGCAUGGUGGGGGUUGGAAAGUUUCGGCGGUUGGGGAUGGACUCGCGGCUUAUCAGCUUGUUGGUGGGGUAGUGGCUUACCAAGGCUUUGACGGGUAGCCGGCCUGAGAGGGUGACCGGCCACAUUGGGACUGAGAUACGGCCCAGACUCCUACGGGAGGCAGCAGUGGGGAAUAUUGCACAAUGGGCGGAAGCCUGAUGCAGCAACGCCGCGUGCGGAUGACGGCCUUCGGGUUGUAAACCGCUUUCGCCUGUGACGAAGCGUGAGUGACGGUAAUGGGUAAAGAAGCACCGGCUAACUACGUG
rnacentral:rRNA from 1 species